GCCGGCGAUCAAGCCCUGUCCACCUCCACUUCUUCAUUUUCUCCUUCGACCACUAUGGCUGCUUCUUCCUCGCCGCCUCCUCGAUUUUCAAUCGACGAUCAAAUCCCACCCCAUACUUCUCCUUCACCAGCCAAUGUGAUCAAGCCCCGCUAGCUUGAUUCUCUUCUUCUCUCCUUCGCCUCCAACUGUCGCCACUAUCUCUCCCCGUACUGCCUUGACUGUCUUCAAUCAAGUUGUGCCACUCCUUACCACCAUGACGGCACCUCUUCGGCCGCCUCUCUC
rnacentral:lncRNA from 1 species